rnacentral:rRNA from 1 species
CAGCCGCCGCGGGAAUACGAAGGGGGCUAGCGUUGCUCGGAAUGACUGGGCGUAAAGGGCGCGUAGGCGGCAUAUACAGUCAGGCGUGAAAUUCCCGGGCUUAACCUGGGAACUGCAUCUUAUACUGGGUAACUGGAGUGCAAUAGAGGGUAGUGGAAUUUCCGGUGUAGCGGUGAAAUGCGUAGAUAUCGGAAGGAACACCAGUGGCGAAGGCGGCUACCUGGAUUGACACUGACACUGAGGCGCGAGAGCGUGGGGAGCAAACAGGAUUAGAUACCCCAGUAGUCCCUGUCUCUUAUAC